rnacentral:rRNA from 1 species
CCUACGGGAGGCAGCAGUGGGGAAUAUUGCGCAAUGGAGGAAACCCUGACGCAGUGACGCCGCGUGCAGGAAGAAGGUUUUCGGAUUGUAACCCGCUUUAAACAGGGAAGAAAAAAGACGGUACCUGUCGAAUAAGCUCCGGCUAACUACGUGCCAGCAGCCGCGGUAAUACGUAGGGGGCAAGCGUUAUCCGGAUUUAUUGGGUGUAAAGGGCGCGUAGACGGCGAGUCAAGUUAGUUGUGAAAGCCCACGGCUUAACUGAGGAACUGCAACUAAAACUGCUGACCUUGAGUACUGGAGAGGAAAGUGGAAUUCCUGGUGUAGCGGUGAAAUGCGUAGAUAUUAGGAGGAACACCAGUGGCGAAGGCGACUUCCUGGACAGUAACUGACGUUGAGGCACGAAAGUGUGGGGAGCAAACAGGAUUAGAUACCCUAGUAGUC